UACGUAGGGUGCGAGCGUUAAUCGGAAUUACUGGGCGUAAAGCGUGCGUAGACGGUUAUUUAAGUCGGGUGUGAAAGCCCCGGGCUCAACCUGGGAAUUGCAUUCGAGACUGAAUAGCUAGGGUACGGUAGAGGGAAGCGGAAUUUCCGGUGUAGCGGUGAAAUGCGUAGAUAUCUGGAGGAACACCGGUGGCGAAGGCGGCAUCCUCGGACCGGCAUUGACGCUGAGGCGCGAAAGCCAGGGGAGCAAAGCGGG
rnacentral:rRNA from 1 species